CCAAUAUUGUUAAAAUUGAAACUUAACUUUAAUUAAUUAAAUAAAACACACCAAACACCCCACAAGGAGGUGUCUGGUCGUACAAGAAGAACAGGGGGGCGAUCCCCACACAUCAAAACCCUAAGUCUUCACCAAACUUGCAAAUUGAAGGCUCAAUCCAAGUCAAAAUCGAAAAUCAAGCAUAGAUUAUUGAUCCCCAUUGAAAGGGGAGUCAUAAGAACACUUAAAUGGGUUGGAGAAUUUGAUGUUUCGUGUUGCACACAAGUUUGACUCUGACAAGCUAGGUAGGAGCUUGGAAAUGAACGGGUCAAAUGGAUACAAGUUCAAGUAUGAAGCUCGCAAGGAUGCAAGGUAAGUAUAACUUACACUAGUCAUAUAUUUUAAAAUGUUCUUUUGUCAUAUUGACUACGAAUAAGACAAAUGGUAAUUUAGUCACACGUUGACAAUAAUCGUUA
rnacentral:lncRNA from 1 species